rnacentral:lncRNA from 1 species
GCCCCCUUUUCGAGUAUCGACGAAGACCGAGACCAUGGCUAGCAGAGAUGCUUUGUUCGAGUGAAAAUCGAGGAUUUGAUCCCCCUGAAUACAUGCUAUUCCCCGAGAAGUGGAAUGCGUCUCGUAAGUGCAACCUCUCUUUAAACAUCAAAAUUCUUUUUCUUCAAUUUCUAUCUUCUCAUUCAUGCUUAUGGUUGUACAAAUGUCGUCCGGGUUCCGACUGCGGUUUGCCAGUUAAAGGAAUGGAUCGAGGACAUAUGUACUCAGAUGUCGUACUUCGAGCGCACAUGACGCGGACUCUCGAAGGGCCGAUGGGAGGCCGUUCUCAUGGUAAGGCCUCUUUAUAGGUAGCCAAUAUUACGUUUCUACCUUUUAUUAUACUAACUCCUCUUCCCUUUUGUUAUUGCAGGUUUGCCUAUGACCAUCGAACUUAGACCUUCGUAAGGGAAUGAGGAUGUGCCUCCAUCCGUUGAUCCCUCCGUUGCUGCCACAGAGGGAAAAAAGAAGAGGAAGAAAAA